AGUCAUUCAUUCAAACGACAUUUUGUUUAAUGGAAGGAUUUUUGAAGUUAUGGAAGUUCCUGUAUGAAGUCAGCCUCAUAUGAAUAAAGGAGUAAGUCGGCAAGAAACCACCGGUUUUGUUUUUUGAGGGCUGAACAAUUUAUA